AGUUUGAGAAUUAAUGUAGUUUUCCAGCUUGUUGCAAUAUAUACUGAAAGCAGUACGUUCUUUUUUUCCAUGAACUUCAGUGCAUGCUGUAUCAAGUACGUCUGGAUCAAUUUGAGAAACGGGAUAUUAUAAUGAUCCUGAAAAUAUUUUCUGACCAGCUCACAUGAUACAGAAAGUGAUGGAGUCACCAUCCCUAGAGGUUUUCAAGAAAACUGUGAUGUUACAUUGAGUGACAUGGUUUGAUGGACAGUUAGACUGGAUGAUCUUAGUGAUCAGCCUUAAUGAUUCUUUGAUUCUCCCUACAGUAGCAUUUUUGUCCCAUUCUAGUACAAUGUCUAAUGAACAUCACUUUCACAGCUGGCCUCCCCAUCAGUUUUUCCCUCUGGUGCCUAGAGAUUAGAACUCCUAAUCUGUUUUUAUCAUUUCUGAGGAUCAACCCCCCUGUGCUUUGUUGGGAAGCACUUCCAGUCUGAGUGUACCCUCUCAAAUGUGAGCCUUGGGGGCUGGCUGGCCAUGGGAGCCAUACUUGCAUCCUUCCAGAAAUCUUUGAAGACCUGUUCCAACAUGAUAACAUUAGUUUUUUUCUCAAGCAAUUUGAGUAGAAAUCAAAAUAUCUUGGCUAAGUUUGCUAGGUCAAGAGGAAAGAUCUGGGAUAAGCAGAUGGAGGUGGAAUCUCAUGAUUUUCCCAAUUACACAAUCAUGUAUCACUGUGACCCAGCGACUGCUCUGGCAAAGCUGCACCAGCAACAAAAUGGGGUCUUACAUAUCUCUGAUGGUCAUAGCUGGACUGCAAAGGAGUGUCUGAGAAGGGGGAAACAGCAGCUGAAUUUGGGUCUUGUGGAAACGGAGCCCCACUACAUUGUGAGACCAUCUGAGCUGCACAUGUUCAGCGAAGGCACUUCUAUUUGGCUGUUAUCUCAGAAUGGGGGAAAUGUGGAAGAUAAAUCUGAAGGUUUUUCCAGACAAAGGGAACUUAUCGAGUAAUAUUGAAACAGCCGGCUCAGAGCCAAGCUAGGAUUUGGCCCUUAUUUUGAGCUGAGUAGAUAGAAACUGUGGCCAAGGAUCAGCUGGAAAACCACUUAACCUUUUUUGAGAUUGAACAGCAGCUUUUGCUGAGAAAGUCUGGUUUGAAAUACAAGCAUGAGAGAAAUGGAGAGCAAUGAUUUGUACAAUGAUUGACAGCAUGUCAUGUAGGACAACCUACAAACAUACCUCCUGAAGGUUGUGCCAUGUAUGAGCAUGUACUCUGAUGAGGUGCAGCUAGAAAAUAUAAGAGGUUAUAGAGGAAAAAAUGCAGUUUUUGAUCUUUUUCACCUCUUUUACUGUACCUUUCCUUUAUCCUGCAUGUCUCAAAUGCUGCUUUAGGCCUGAGGUUUGCUAGGGUGGGUAAAGGCAGAGGGAUUAUUUCAGUAGAAUUUUGCAUCCUAAUGCUAAGGAUCUUUCUUUAUGGAGUUUCUCAGUGGUGUAUUGCAUUUCUCUGUCCUCCAGUUCCUGCUCUCUUAUCCUUCAUUUGACCAUAUAUUUUAUCAGCCUUUAUUCUUCAGAAAUGCUUAUAGGCAGUUGGGCCGUCAAGCUUUCCCUUGUUCUUGUGUGUAAAGGCAUGAGAAGCAGACAGCUCCAUUGCUGAGCUAGGAUGUUUUUACUGGAUAUUUCACUAUAUGUCUACAAUGAUUUCUGAAUUAAUUAAGAAGCAGUAUUCAUUUCAAUUGUAUUCUCCCUGUAUGUGAUGGAUGCUGCUUUUCCUCCUUUCUAAGUUGACCUGAGCUAAGAUAGGAUCAGGAUGUCAUUGUCUAAUGGCUACUUUAGCAAUUUAAGGCAUCUUGUAGCUAUUGUAAAAAUGAUUCCCCUCAGGUGGUUUAAAUGAGCUGGUUUGCUGUACUGUGCCUAAGGGGAAGAAAUAAAAAAUAGAUCUGUAUCAUGUUUAGCUGUGCAGCAUGACUAGGGAUGGCCAGAUUUUUAUACUGAAUUGCAUAUGUAUUUUUCUUGUCUCAUGGAAUAGCUAUGGUAUUCAUGUAGUCUUUGGAUUUCUCUCUUUGGUCAGUAGUAGCCAGCAUGUUAAAUAGGGUCAUGACAAAGGAUGCUCUUCAAUCUCCAUGUAAAGUACAUCUUCAGCCAAGCCCCUCAAAUCCCAUUCUACUCCAGCUGUGAUGCCUUUAACAGAGGACUGUCUGUUAGACCAGCUUUCCAAAACAAAACCCUACCAAAACAGAACACACUGCAAAGACCAUUUUCAAUGGCCAAAGUGAGACUCAUCUCUUACACGUGAUUGGAAGACAUUGCAGGAUUAAAAAUCUGCAAACUUUAUACUUAGGAUUCCUUCAUACUUCCCAGUUAUUUCUAACUGAUGUAUCAUCUGAUCUACGUCUCUCUCCAUGAAGUGCAGAGUAGCUGAAAGAGUGGAACUCCUACAGUCUUCAUUCAUGCAGUGUUUUACCAACUUUUGGAGUUGAGAACUCCAAAUUUUGAGUCAAUAGUUUGAGAUAAGGACUAAGGAAAACUUAAGGAUCUUUCACAAAGAAAUUGGAGCUGCAAACCUCUGACAGGUUGCCUUUUCUAUCCAGUAUGGAAUGUGCCCCACACUUUUUAAAACAGCACUUGCCUUUGCCUAGCACCAAACAGUGGGAUUUUAAGCCAUGGCUUGGGAUCCCUCAGCACUAUGCACAGUAGUUGGUUAAUAAGGGCACCAACAUUGUUUUCUGACAUGUAAUGCUACUAUUACUUCAAAUAUUUUGCUAAUAUUCUUUAAUCUCUCCUUGUGAUUGUCCCCUUCUGCAUUUUCAGUUAUCAACGUUUCUAAAUGAAGGAAUGUUGAAGCAUGGAAGAUUAGAUAAGGAAAUAUUUAACAUCAAGAAACUCUUUGCUCAGGGGGAGGGCUUUGAACAGGACUGUUGUAUUGAUUUGUUACACCAGAGCCUGUGUUUUAUCAGCAACACAUAAAUCAAAUGGUACCGUGCACAACAAUGUACAUACAGUUUUUAAUAGAGAAAGGGAACCCGUUCUCUGUAGUGCUUCUGCUUGCUGGCUGACAUGAGAGAAUGAAGAGUGUGUCUUUUUCUUUUUCUUUUUUUUUUUUUUUUGUAAAUGGAGAAUGAUGGAGUAGGUCUAUGAGAAAAAAGACUGAGCUCAUUUCAAAUCCAAGGGAAGCUGCUCUGCUCCUGUCUCCCAGUGAUUCAUGAGCUGUCAUGCAUUACAGAUGAAUCCAGCUCGCUCUGACAAAACCCAUGACCUGAGCACUUCUAAAAACCGUGGCACCCCAGGCAGGGUCGUGCAUGCAGGACCAGGAGAGAAAGCAGGAAUGUGGCUCUGGGAAGGGGCAGCCCAUUAAGCUGCUGUGUAGCAGCGGCAGCAAAGUGUCUCAGAAGGAAACAAAAGGACUGUGAGCUGCGAUGCUCCUUCCUGUUUUUGAGAUUUCACUUUAUCCUAAAACAACACCUCAUCGAUUUGAGCCAAGCUUUACUAUGACAGGUCAAAACCAGCAUAAAAUCGUAGUACCUUUUUGUAUAGGUUUAUCUUACGUUAAACUCUGUUACUUGUCCCAGGUGGAGGAUGCCUAGUUGCCUGUGUGUUGGAUGACACUGGGCAAUAUCUGCCAGCAUCUCUAGCUGUGCAGAAGUUCUGUUUUCUCUCCACGUUAUAUCCAGACACACAUUUUGGGCUCCUUGUAUCUCUUUUCUCUCCUGCAGAACAGUGGUGUUGAAGCAGGGGAGGCAAGGGUGUAAAUGGGACUACUUACAGUAUGUAAGAAACCAAGCAGAGUGUAAAUGAGAUACCUAUUGAAGCUUCAAGCUUGGCAUUGCUCAGGGAGCCCAACACAAACCUUCCUCCUCCAUGGGGAGAAUGUGCAGCAUCCUGCCCUGCAUCCUUAUGGCUUGGUUUGCCCUCCAGCCUCCUCUCCAACAUCCAGUUUGGGGUCAUUGCAGUUAUUUCACAGGCAGCACCAUCCAGCGAGGCUUAAAUACACAGCAGGGAUGAGCCUGGCCUGCCAAGAUCAUCUCUUUCCCCAUUAAAGUAAAUUAAAUUUGAAUGGGUAGGAAGGAGAGCAAAAUUUAGCCUGGUUUGUCUUUUCUGUGAAAAAGUUAAUGUGGCACAGUGCCCAGGCAAAUUCAGAUUGCUCCGUGCUGUAAUGCUGUUCUGCAGCUACCAAACUAGACCUGACUUGCACCCUGCCUGAGCCUGGUGAGCAGACAUGCCCUAAGGGUAUGUCUACACUGUAGGAUAGAGUUGAGACCUGGACUUGGCGAGGCAAACCUGAGCUCUUGGUCAGCAGGGGUGUGAUGUGAGAUGUGUGUCCUUGGCUCUGGGAUGGGGUGAGGAGGAGGAACAGGGAGGUGUCCAACCUCAGAAAGUCUUGUGAUGCAUUUGAGGAUUGAGGUUGUGUGGUGGAAGGGCAUUUUGGGCUGGCACAUGCUGUGCUCAGUGAUGGAAUGCUCGUCCCAUGGAGAUUGUGCAGGAAGUCAUGGCCAGGUUCAUUUGUAUGAGGGCAUGUAACUAGAAAACUAUAAAAAUAGCAGGAACAAGUAGAACUUGCUUCUAGUGAAAAAAACAAAGACAUUGCAAUACAUACUAAAUUCCUUUCUUUUUCUUUCUUUCUUCAUUCCUUGUCUUCUGGUUGCAAGUCAUUUUUCUGCUUCUCAAAUACCAGGCUCUUCUGUGCUUGCUUUGUCUCUAAUCUACCACCUCUCAUAAUACAUGAAGAAAGUAUUUCUACAACCUGAAUGAUUCUGUGAUUCUAUUUAGUGAUGGGACAAGGAUAAGUGAAGUUGAUGGCUGGACUUGAUGACCUCGAAGGUCUUUUCCAACCUAAAUGAUCCCGUGAUUUCCACUCUGCCAUCUCACAGGGGUUUUUCCUCUGAGCUGAGCAGCGGGCCACGGGAUAGGGAAUGAUGGCAAGGAAAUGGAGAGUGAAGGCACUGUGCCCAAGUCAAGGUAUGAGGAUGCCCCAGUGGUUGAGUUUACUCGCAGCCUGUUUUUCCACUGAAUGCUGCCAGCCUCCAAGCUGCUUGAAUACCACAUGCUGCUUGCAUUGCUGUCUUUUCAUCUGCCACCCCUUGGUGUCCCCUGAGGUGUGCAGGCUGGGGAUGGCUGCAGGUGACUGGAAAUGCUGCUGGAAAACAACCCCUUGUGAGGGAAUUAACUCCUGCUUUUAUUUAUUUUCUGGUGUGAAUACAGCUCUGAGGAUGCAGGAGAGCUUUGCUGAUGUUCCUUCAGAGUUUGAAAUAGUUUUCUUUCUCAAAGAUGGAUGCUGAGCACUUUCAAGCGGGUUAUUUAGAAGGUUUGUGACCAGAAAUCAAACCAGGCUGAAAAAAAAUGUAGAUCUACCUGUUUACAUCAUAAACCACGAACACAUUUGCAUCCUGCAACAAACACCUGGGCAACAUCCAGUGGAGACAUUCCCAACGUGUUAACUACUGCCAGCGCUGGAAUCCUGUAAUCACAGCACAUCAAGAUGAUGGGAACUCAAUUAAAUUAAGGAGAAACACCAAGAUUGUGAAACUUGGCGGCAGGACAAGAGCUGGUUGCAACACAGGCUGGACUUUAGAAGCGUGACCUUUUGACCUGAAUCAUGACAAGUGAUUAUGAGGAAGAGCUGCUCUCACUUCUAAAUUAUUGCCAUGCAAUGAGCAGAUUUCCACGGGGUGGCUGAAGUCAUGUCCUGAGAUACAAGGGAUACAAGCAUCCCAUUCCUGCUCUACUUUGUACUACAAGACUGGUCUUAGUGAAGCUUAUUCUCUUAAAAUGUCCUCACUGGCUGAAUAAAACACAAUUUCUGUUCUAAUAUUGUUGGGCUGUGAAACAUUGCAAUAGAGGCACAAAUGUGGGCAAGAACAAGUUUUACUGCAGACGCUUUAUCUUCUGAUAGAUUGUCCCAGUGCUGCAUUCCUCAUUCCCUGGCAGUUUGGUCCAGCUCAGAUUGGAAGAUGGUGAAGAUCUUGGGAGACCUCCAAUAACGUGGGGCAAAAUGCACUGAUAACAGAAAUGCAAUGGCUUUGAUUGAUCUGUAGAAGGAAAAAAAAAAGAAACGGUCCAUAGUGAGAAUGCAGAAUAAGAUUGAGAGGAAAAGUUGAGCCCUAGAAGGGAGGCUGGUGCGUGGUGUAUUCAAUAAUUGCAUUUAUGAAUAAACAAUUAAGUAUUACCAAUGAA